CCUACGGGAGGCAGCAGUGAGGAAUAUUGGUCAAUGGACGAGAGUCUGAACCAGCCAAGUAGCGUGAAGGAUGACUGCCCUAUGGGUUGUAAACUUCUUUUAUAUGGGAAUAAAAUGUUCCACGUGUGGGCUUUUGUAUGUACCAUAUGAAUAAGGAUCGGCUAACUCCGUGCCAGCAGCCGCGGUAAUACGGAGGAGCCGAGCGUUAUCCGGAUUUAUUGGGUUUAAAGGGAGCGUAGGUGGAUUGUUAAGUCAGUUGUGAAAGUUUGCGGCUCAACCGAAAAAUUGCAGUUGAAACUGGCAGUCUUGAGUACAGUAGAGGUGGGCGGAAUUCGUGGUGUAGCGGUGAAAUGCUUAGAUAUCACGAAGAACUCCGAUUGCGAAGGCAGCUCACUGGACUGCAACUGACACUGAGGCUCGAAAGUGUGGGUAUCAAACAGGAUGAGAUACCCCUGUUC
rnacentral:rRNA from 1 species